rnacentral:lncRNA from 1 species
CACAAAUAAUAUUUCUCCAGUUCGGUAAAUCUAUAUUUGUGUAAAGAAUAUUUUGUAGUUAUAUUUACAUAGUUCUUAUGUGUCUCUUGACAGAUUGACACCCAAGUGUUGUACAUUUCAUAAUUGUUUUAAAUGGAAUUUCUCUAUCCUUCCUUGGUUUGGCUGCCAAUGCAGAGAAAUGCAGACGACUUAGGGAGAAGAAAAUCAUACUGAGAAGAUACCAUAUAAUAAGUCUUGGUCUACAUGAAAGUUAUGACUUAAAAAAAGAAUUAAACAUUACACUUCAAUAAAUUAUUUUUAAGAACUGGCCUGAAGUUUUGGAACUAAAAGAUAAAGUAGAAUUUGAAAGAAUUCAUCGAUCACCACCUGUAAGAGAUCCCAGCAGGAAAACUCAAAGGAAUGGUAAUACAAAGUUUUGUCACUAUCAGUUUAAGGAGAAUAUUCUACCAAAAACCCCUAGAAACAGUGUAAAUAUUGUGUAACUAUAAUCAGUAUAACACAAGAUUUAGAACAUUCUACAUUAAAAUAAUGAAGAGUGUAGAAUAUAAUAUUUUAGAGAGCAAAGGUGCUGUGUCCACAACCAAGAAUAACCAACCCAGAAAAGCUGAGU